GAUGAACGCUGGCGGCGUGCCUAAUACAUGCAAGUCGAGCGAACGGACGAUAAGCUUGCUUCUCUGAUGUUAGCGGCGGACGGGUGAGUAACACGUGGAUAACCUACCUAUAAGACUGGGAUAACUUCGGGACACCGGAGCUAAUACCGGAUAAUAUUUUGAACCGCAUGGUUCAAAAGUGAAAGACGGUCUUGCUGUCACUUAUAGAUGGAUCCGCGCUGCAUUAGCUAGUUGGUAAGGUAACGGCUUACCAAGGCAACGAUGCAUAGCCGACCUGAGAGGGUGAUCGGCCACACUGGAACUGAGACACGGUCCAGACUCCUACGGGAGGCAGCAGUAGGGAAUCUUCCGCAAUGGGCGAAAGCCUGACGGAGCAACGCCGCGUGAGUGAUGAAGGUCUUCGGAUCGUAAAACUCUGUUAUUAGGGAAGAACAUAUGUGUAAGUAACUGUGCACAUCUUGACGGUACCUAAUCAGAAAGCCACGGCUAACUACGUG
rnacentral:rRNA from 1 species